ACCACUCACACUUCACAUUUGCUCACGCCUUUUUUCCCUCAACACACUCACUGCAAUCACUGUUCAAAUCCAUAAAGUACUACGCUCAAGAGCUGUAGGAACGUUACAUUUGAUUCCUUCGGUAUCCCAGAAAUGGCAGAAAACUCCAGAAAUCUAAGAUGAUUUCUAUAAUUCUUCAAGAACAUACACUAUAGAUUUUGGCCGGAUUAUUUCAUCCGACCCAAAUUCAAAUUCAUCUUGUGAAGAUUUCGGUGUGCUAUCGUCGGAUCCCAUCUCUUGUGCGCUGCGGGCAAGUUUAAUGGAGCCUCAGCGUUAGGAGUAUAGCUUUGGACGGUGCCAUGUUGAGGAACUUGGCCGUUGUCUUAAGAGUGUAACCCCAGAAGGACAGGGGCAAUUCAGUAAACCACUUCAUGGAUUGAACCAUGUCCAACAUGGUUUGACUUCUCCAUUCGGCCACGCCGUUAAGUUGUGGCGUUCUAGGAGGAGUCCAUUGAGAGAGAAUUCUAUUCUUUAUUAAGUAAUCCAUGAACUCACCACUUAAAUAUUC